GUGCACCAGUCGAGAAAACUCCGCAAUACACGAAAGUGUGACGGGGCCAUCCCGAGUGCCGUCCGCUGAGGACGGCUUUUCCCCAGUGUACACAGCUGGGGGAAUAAGGAGAGGGCAAGCCUGGUGUCAGCCGCCGCGGUAAUACCAGCUCUCCGAGUGGUGGGGACGCUUAUUGGGCCUAAAGCAUCCGUAGCCGGCUGGGCAAGUUCUCCGUUAAAUCCAACGAUUCAAUCGUUGGGCUGCGGGGGAUACUGUCCAGCUUGGGGGCGGGGAGAGGCCGACGGUAUUCCCGGGGUAGGGGUGAAAUCCUAUAAUCCCGGGAGGACCACCAGUGGCGAAGGCUGUCGGCUAGAACGCGCCCGACGGUGA
rnacentral:rRNA from 1 species